rnacentral:lncRNA from 1 species
CUGUGAGAAGCACAAACCACACAGACUACAUAUAAAUGCUCAAUCAGUAGCCCCAGAAGAACUCCCAGUCCUCAGUGAACAUUGACUGGUGGCCAUAUGAUUUGUCAUCUCGGACAUCCAGCCCAGUUCAGCUUUCAGGCCCUGUGCUAUGCUCUGGGGACGCACGACACUUAAGAGACGGUUCCUCCCCUGUGAUCAUGAGGGGCUCAUGAACCAGCAGGGGAGACAGACAGGUAAACAGGAAGUAUGGCUAGGGGGUAAGUACCAUAGUAGAGGGCGACAUGGGAGUGCAGAGGAGGGGCUCCAACUCUGGCAUCAACCUACUCCACCUUGGGAAAAAGUUCUAAACAGGGAAGCGAGUGAGUCAUGAGCUGCAUCUGGAAAAAGGGAUAGGCUUGGGAUUGACCUAGUGAACUGUAGGCAAAAGCCACCGACCAGAGGCACCGAAGGACAGGGCCACACUGGCAUCUAGGGGCCAUAGACUGGCACACUCUCAGGCAGCCCUGGAAUCUGGUGAGUCUGUUCCACAACUCCCAUGGGGCCUGCAGAGCAAGUGUCUCU